AUAACAAACUCAAAAAUACAACUGACCUCCUAUACAAGAAACAAAGGGGACUUAUAUACUGGGUGAUCAGACCAGGUUUGACACCCAGGGGGAGACUAACAAUAACACUAAUAUGUAAAUUACAAAUAACAAAAGAAAACAACUAAACACUUACUCCAAAAGAAAUGUAAUCUUAAUUAACAUUAACUGAAUAAAUGUACUAAAGACAAUACAAAUCAAAACUCAAAUAUCUUGAGGACAAAUAAAGCGAACUCCCCCCUGACAUAACAAGUAGUGGUAGAGUCCAAUUUAGCCACCACCCCUAUAAAGCUGCUGUAGUUCCAGACGCCACCCCUUUGUCCCUGCAGCCUGCAUGCCUCACUCCAGAGUGUGGAAUCCGCAACACUGAUUCCGGGCUGGACCCACGGCAGGACAAUAGUGGCCCGGUACGGGCAAUGGACAGCUGCACAGCAUGGAGGAUGUUCAGGACGGCUGCCAAACCCCAUCAUGCACCGCUGCACAGAGAUGGUGCUGCUGUGGAGAGGGUCAGCAGUUCACCUGGUGGACCACCUGACCUCAUCCAACAACACCACAGCAGUCAUCAGAAGAGACCAGCAACACCUCCGGAGACUCAGGGAAGCCUUAGCACCUUCUACAGGGGCCCACUGAAAGCACACUGACCCACGGCAUCACAUCCUGGUUCUGGAGCUGCAAGGCCUACGAAUG